rnacentral:ncRNA from 1 species
GGCAACUUGCCCCGAAAGGGGGUGUUGUUGUGUUUUACCAAAUCUUAUCGUUAAUCGUUGCGCCAAUACUUGUUGGCAUAGUCACUGAACUAUUUUCUCAUUGGUUAGAAGAGAAGGACAAAGACAACGAUUGAAAGCAAGUUGCUUGCUAACCCACACGCCAGAUUCGCGCCUGGUGCAAAA